rnacentral:lncRNA from 1 species
UGAUCGGUCCUCUACUUCGUGUGGAUAUCCGUAGAGGCCGGACGUUUGAACGGCUUCAAGCGAACCCUCUUCCAAAACCACGAAUUCAGAUUUGCGGUGAUCAUCUACCCGCACAAGGUGAAGAUUUGAUCUUCCUAAUAGUUUUAAAAGUUUUAAUUCUUACCUAAUUAAGAAAGGUCUCGAAACAACGUUCAUGCGAUGAACGUCGAACCCGUGCAUGCCGAUUCCGCUGCCAUCUGA